GACGGGGGGUGCAAGCGUUGUUCGGAAUUACUGGGCGUAAAGGGCGCGUAGGCGGUCUGUUAAGUUCGGCGUGAAAGCCCUCGGCUUACCCGGGGAACUGCGCCGGAAACCGACAGACUCGAGUACCGGAGAGGAGGGUGGAAUUCCUGGUGUAGCGGUGAAAUGCGUAGAUAUCAGGAGGAACACCGGUGGCGAAGGCGGCCCUCUGGACGGAUACUGACGCUGAGGCGCGAAAGCGUGGGGAGCGAACAGG
rnacentral:rRNA from 1 species